UCGAGGGGCAGCACGUCUUCGGAUGGUGGCGACCGGCGCACGGGUGCGUAACGCGUAUACAAUCUGCCUCUUACUGCGGGAUAGCCCAGAGAAAUUUGGAUUAACACCGCAUAGUAUAACGGUUCGGCAUCGGACGGUUAUUAAAGGCCACGGUAAGAGAUGAGUAUGCGUUCUAUUAGCUAGAUGGUAUGGUAACGGCUUACCAUGGCAACGAUAGAUAGGGGCCCUGAGAGGGGGAUCCCCCACACUGGUACUGAGACACGGACCAGACUCCUACGGGAGGCAGCAGUGAGGAAUAUUGGACAUGGAGGCAACUCUGAUCCAGCCAUGCCGCGUGCAGGAAGACGGCCCUAUGGGUUGUAAACUGCUUUUAUACGGGAAGAAACACCGCUACGUGUAGCGGCUUGACGGUACCGUAAGAAUAAGGAUCGGCUAACUCCGUGCCAGCAGCCGCGGUAAUACGGAGGAUCCAAGCGUUAUCCGGAAUCAUUGGGUUUAAAGGGUCCGUAGGUGGAUAAUUAAGUCAGAGGUGAAAUCCUGCCGCUCAACGGUAGAAUUGCCUUUGAUACUGGUUAUCUUGAAUCAAUGUGAAGUGGUUAGAAUAUGUAGUGUAGCGGUGAAAUGCAUAGAUAUUACAUAGAAUACCAAUUGCGAAGGCAGAUCACUAACAUUGUAUUGACACUGAUGGACGAAAGCGUGGGGAGCGAACAGGAUUUGAUACCCUGGUAGUCCACGCCGUANACGAUGGAUACUAGCUGUUCGGAGCAAUNUGAGUGGCUAAGCGAAAGUGAUAAGUAUCCCACCUGGGGAGUACGUUCGCAAGAAUGAAACUCAAAGGAAUUGACGGG
rnacentral:rRNA from 1 species